rnacentral:rRNA from 1 species
AGAGUUUGAUCCUGGCUCAGGAUGAACGCUGGCGGCGUGCCUAACACAUGCAAGUCGAGCGAGAAGCUGAUGACAGAUACUUCGGUUGAAGGAGUCAGUGGAAAGCGGCGGACGGGUGAGUAACGCGUAGGCAACCUGCCCUUUGCACAGGGAUAGCCAUUGGAAACGAUGAUUAAAACCUGAUAACACCAUUUGGUUACAUGAGCAGAUGGUCAAAGAUUUAUCGGCAAAGGAUGGGCCUGCGUCUGAUUAGCUAGUUGGUAAGGUAACGGCUUACCAAGGCGACGAUCAGUAGCCGACCUGAGAGGGUGAACGGCCACAUUGGAACUGAGACACGGUCCAAACUCCUACGGGAGGCAGCAGUGGGGAAUAUUGCACAAUGGGCGAAAGCCUGAUGCAGCAACGCCGCGUGAAGGAAGAAGGCCUUCGGGUCGUAAACUUCUGUCCUUGGGGAAGAAGAACUGACGGUACCCAAGGAGGAAGCCCCGGCUAACUACGUGCCAGCAGCCGCGGUAAUACGUAGGGGGCAAGCGUUAUCCGGAAUUAUUGGGCGUAAAGAGUACGUAGGUGGCAACCUAAGCGCAGGGUUUAAGGCAAUGGCUCAACCAUUGUUCGCCCUGCGAACUGGGAUGCUUGAGUGCAGGAGAGGAAAGCGGAAUUCCUAGUGUAGCGGUGAAAUGCGUAGAUAUUAGGAGGAACACCAGUGGCGAAGGCGGCUUUCUGGACUGUAACUGACACUGAGGUACGAAAGCGUGGGAAGCAAACAGGAUUAGAUACCCUGGUAGUCCACGCCGUAAACGAUGAGCACUAGGUGUCGGGGUCGCAAGACUUCGGUGCCGUAGUUAACGCAUUAAGUGCUCCGCCUGGGGAGUACGCACGCAAGUGUGAAACUCAAAGGAAUUGACGGGGGCCCGCACAAGCGGAGGAACAUGUGGUUUAAUUCGAUGAUACGCGAGGAACCUUACCCGGGCUCAAACGACACAGGAACGUACCUGAAAGGGUUCGGCUCUACGGAGCCUGUGUCGAGGUGCUGCAUGGUUGUCGUCAGCUCGUGCCGUGAGGUGUCGGCUUAAGUGCCAUAACGAGCGCAACCCCCAUCGACAGUUGCUAACAGGUCAGGCUGAGGACUCUGUCGAGACUGCCGGCGCAAGCUGCGAGGAAGGCGGGGAUGACGUCAAAUCAGCACGGCCCUUACGUCCGGGGCGACACACGUGUUACAAUGGCAGGUACAGCGGGAAGCCACCUGGCGACAGGGAGCGGAACCCGAAAGCCUGUCUCAGUUCGGAUUGGAGUCUGUAACCCGCCUCCAUGAAGUUGGAUUCGCUAGUAAUCGCGCAUCAGCCAUGGCGCGGUGAAUACGUUCCUCGGGCCUUGUACUCACCGCCCGUCA